GAAAACUAUUAGGUUGGUGCAAAAGUAAUUGUGGGUUUUACCAUUGAAAGUAAUGGCAAAACCCACAAUUACUUUUGUACCAACCUAAUA
ensembl:miRNA